rnacentral:sRNA from 1 species
GUUCUGCGGCUGAAUCUGAAUAUGCAUCUGCAUCUGCGGCGGUGCCUGUGCCUGUGCCUGAACAUGUUGCUCUGUUAGUUGUUGCUGCUGCUGCUGUUGCUGGUGAACCAUCGACUGUGCCUGCUGCUGUGCCUGCUGCUGUUGCUGCUGCUGCGACUGCUGCUGACUGAGCAGAAGCUGCUGUAAUUGUUGCUCCAGGGGCAAUGAUAGUUGCAUGGAUUGCGGCUGCAUAAAUUG